CCUGCACAUCAUUAGAGCCUGAGUUGGCCCAUUGACUCUCAAGUAUAGGUAGUGUGUUACACAAGAAGAAGGUUUUUGCAAACAACACAAGGGUCUCUCGCCCAAUGAGUGGAAUUUGAUAGUACUUCUUGCUACAAGU